rnacentral:rRNA from 1 species
UACGAAGGGGGCUAGCGUUGUCCGGAUUUAUUGGGUUUAAAGGGUGCGUAGGCGGCUCUAUAAGUCAGCGUUGAAAUAUGGCAGCUCAACUGUCAGACUGGCAUUGAUACUGUAGAGCUUGAGUGAAGUCGAGGUUGGCGGAAUUGACGGUGUAGCGGUGAAAUGCAUAGAUAUCGUCAAGAACACCGAUUGCGAAGGCAGCUAACUAGACUUUAACUGACGCUGAGGCACGAAAGCGUGGGGAUCAAACAGG